rnacentral:rRNA from 1 species
UACUAACGCUGGCGGCGUGCCUAAUACAUGCAAGUAGAACGCUGAAGGAGGAGCUUGCUCUUCUGGAUGAGUUGCGAACGGGUGAGUAACGCGUAGGUAACCUGCCUGGUAGCGGGGGAUAACUAUUGGAAACGAUAGCUAAUACCGCAUAACAGUAGAUGUUGCAUGACAUUUGCUUAAAAGGUGCAAUUGCAUCACUACCAGAUGGACCUGCGUUGUAUUAGCUAGUUGGUGGGGUAACGGCUCACCAAGGCGACGAUACAUAGCCGACCUGAGAGGGUGAUCGGCCACACUGGGACUGAGACACGGCCCAGACUCCUACGGGAGGCAGCAGUAGGGAAUCUUCGGCAAUGGACGGAAGUCUGACCGAGCAACGCCGCGUGAGUGAAGAAGGUUUUCGGAUCGUAAAGCUCUGUUGUAAGAGAAGAACGAGUGUGAGAGUGGAAAGUUCACACUGUGACGGUAUCUUACCAGAAAGGGACGGCUAACUACGUG